AUGAACGCUAGCUACAGGCUUAACACAUGCAAGUCGAGGGGCAGCAUGGUCUUAGCUUGCUAAGGCCGAUGGCGACCGGCGCACGGGUGAGUAACACGUAUCCAACCUGCCGUCUACUCUUGGACAGCCUUCUGAAAGGAAGAUUAAUACAAGAUGGCAUCAUGAGUCCACAUGUUCACAUGAUUAAAGGUAUUCCGGUAGACGAUGGGGAUGCGUUCCAUUAGAUAGUAGGCGGGGUAACGGCCCACCUAGUCUUCGAUGGAUAGGGGUUCUGAGAGGAAGGUCCCCCACAUUGGAACUGAGACACGGUCCAAACUCCUACGGGAGGCAGCAGUGAGGAAUAUUGGUCAAUGGGCGAGAGCCUGAACCAGCCAAGUAGCGUGAAGGAUGACUGCCCUAUGGGUUGUAAACUUCUUUUAUAAAGGAAUAAAGUCGGGUAUGCAUACCCGUUUGCAUGUACUUUAUGAAUAAGGAUCGGCUAACUCCGUGCCAGCAGCCGCGGUAAUACGGAGGAUCCGAGCGUUAUCCGGAUUUAUUGGGUUUAAAGGGAGCGUAGAUGGAUGUUUAAGUCAGUUGUGAAAGUUUGCGGCUCAACCGUAAAAUUGCAGUUGAUACUGGAUAUCUUGAGUGCAGUUGAGGCAGGCGGAAUUCGUGGUGUAGCGGUGAAAUGCUUAGAUAUCACGAAGAACUCCGAUUGCGAAGGCAGCCUGCUAAGCUGCAACUGACAUUGAGGCUCGAAAGUGUGGGUAUCAAACAGGAUUAGAUACCCUGGUAGUCCACACGGUAAACGAUGAAUACUCGCUGUUUGCGAUAUACAGCAAGCGGCCAAGCGAAAGCGUUAAGUAUUCCACCUGGGGAGUACGCCGGCAACGGUGAAACUCAAAGGAAUUGACGGGGGCCCGCACAAGCGGAGGAACAUGUGGUUUAAUUCGAUGAUACGCGAGGAACCUUACCCGGGCUUAAAUUGCAGAUGAAUUACGGUGAAAGCCGUAAGCCGCAAGGCAUCUGUGAAGGUGCUGCAUGGUUGUCGUCAGCUCGUGCCGUGAGGUGUCGGCUUAAGUGCCAUAACGAGCGCAACCCUUGUUGUCAGUUACUAACAGGUCAUGCUGAGGACUCUGACAAGACUGCCAUCGUAAGAUGUGAGGAAGGUGGGGAUGACGUCAAAUCAGCACGGCCCUUACGUCCGGGGCUACACACGUGUUACAAUGGGGGGUACAGAGGGCCGCUACCACGCGAGUGGAUGCCAAUCCCAAAAACCUCUCUCAGUUCGGACUGGAGUCUGCAACCCGACUCCACGAAGCUGGAUUCGCUAGUAAUCGCGCAUCAGCCACGGCGCGGUGAAUACGUUCCCGGGCCUUGUACACACCGCCCGUCAAGCCAUGGGAGCCGGGGGUACCUGAAGUGCGUAACCGCGAGGAGCGCCCUAGGGUAAAACUGG
rnacentral:rRNA from 1 species